rnacentral:lncRNA from 1 species
CUAUAAAUCAUAUUAUACCUUUAGGGAUAAAUAUUAUCAAGCAGAAAUUUAGAGAACGAACUGAUACUGAAAUUUGAGCUUGCCUUAAGAAUUAUAUUAGUAUGUUGAUGACAUAUUGACAGUCUGGAAAUGUGAAGUUAACAUCGAUGUUUUACAAGCUGCUAUGACGUUAGACCACUACGGCCUAAUGCUUAGAAAAGAGCAAUGUAGUAAAGAACAAGUCCAUUACCUAGAUAUAAGUAUAAAUGUUGAAGGUUGUGAAUUAAAGAUGAUGGUCUAUAGAAAACUUUUCUACCAGCCAGUCCUGAUCCCAAGGUGGUCACUGGACCCCAUAUCUUGUAAAGCAGUUGCAUUUGGUUUCUGUUUUGGGAAAGCUUAUAAUUAAUUGUAUAUCAGAUUGCAAUGAUUUGCGGAGGGAGCUUGAAUGCAUUUGCACUGCUGGAUACAGCCAUGGAUAUAGUGGGAACUUCCUAGAAGCUGUUCGCCGUAGAGUGGGAACUGGCCUCUGCCCAUUGCAGCGGAGUGAAGGUCAAACGUGCACCAGUGAGAAUAGCUACAUAUCACUAGCUUAUCGCAUGACUAAGUCAAGAGUCCUAGGAAUAUUAGCCAAUAGAACUGAUAGACAGAUAAGAACAUAAAUAAAGUCAAAACUAAAUGCAGUUGUGGUUAAACUAAUUUUACUGCUACGAAUGUUUUCGGCAAUACUAUUCUGUUGCCAUCGUCAGGUUCU